ensembl:lincRNA Gm33819 predicted gene, 33819
AAGCCAGUAAAGAACAUGCCUCCAUGGCCUCUGCAUCAGUUCCUGCUUCCUGACCUGCUUGAGUUCUAGUCCUGACUUCCUUGGUGAUGAAAAACAGUAUGGGAGUGAGAAGAUUAAUAUUACUCUGGGAUACUCGAUGACGAUUUGGAUUAUGAUGGCUGAGAUCAAGUUGACCUGAAUCUGCACAUUCCUCCCCUCACAACUGGCUUCUCACAUGCCCCCUCUUCUGAAAUAUUCUCUUAACCUGAGCGUGGUUAUAGACAGCAAUCAGCAAGCUAUUUUCCAAUUCUGCGAACAGAAUAAGGCAAUAAGCAUACCUGGAUUGAUGUUUGGUAAACUAACCAAGGAGAUUCCUAUGACCUUGGGAAUCCAUCUUCACUGAGAUUAUUGUGGAUCCAAGAACCAAACAAAGACACUCAAAGGACUUGAGAACCAUAUCUAGUGGUCUGACAGAUUUUGGUGGGUCAGGUACAAAGAACUGGAAGCCAGCCAAUCUGCUACCAUAGUCACUGCCAACCAUCACCUCUGUUGCUCCUACCAGGUGUACAUGAAACGAAGACUUUAUUUCAUGAAGAGUGGAUGUUCUGAAACUUCGUUUUGGAGUGAAGUUCUCCUCGGCUUCCUCGAAUGCAGCUUUGUUGAUGUUGAUACUAACGAUAACCCUGAUUUUGGUUUUGUAAACUAAAUCAAAUAUAAGUGAAGUGCUCAUGUCUUUAAGCAACUUCUGAGAACAGUGUGAAGACUGAGUACCCACAGAACUAAAAGCGUCUGGUGGAAGACUCACAGCAAAGCUGAAAGAAAGUAGUGAGGGCAGCUGUCUUCCUUUUCAUGUGAAAGCAUUACUAAAACGUCAUAUGGUUAUUUAUGGUGGAGGUAGGAGCAGCAUACUGUACAGCUCAGCCAUUCAUGCUCAUGAAUAGAUUGCCACACUUCUCUUCAAGUCUGACUCCUCACGCAUGAAAACUGAACAUACUAAUGCCUCCAUUUUGUGGGACCAUAAAAGAGACUCAAAAUCAAAACUGCACUUGAAUGUUAUAGGAAACUUGGAAUUUUCUUUUUGUAAUAGACUCAUAAAAUAUUCAAUGGAUGGCUGUAUACAUGUCAGCCAAGCUAAUUUCCUCCUUGUUUGUUGGCAAUCACAAAUCCUUUGGGAUUCAAACUGGUGGAUUUCCUUGGUAAUACUGGCAUGAGUUCAUGUCUCAGUGCAACUGCAUAGAAGAA